AGAGUUUGAUCAUGGCUCAGAUUGAACGCUGGCGCAUGCUUUGCACAUGCAAGUCGACGGUAACGCGGGUUUCGCCUGGCGACGAGUGGCGAACGGGUGAGUAACACAUCGGAACGUGCCCGGGAGUGGGGGAUAACCUCGAGAAAUCGAGGCUAAUACCGCAUACGUCCUGAGGGAGAAAGCGGGGGACCGGUAACGGCCUCGCGCUCACGGAGCGGCCGAUGUCCGAUUAGCUUGUUGGUGGGGUGACGGCUCACCAAGGCGACGAUCGGUAGCUGGUCUGAGAGGAUGAUCAGCCACACUGGGACUGAGACACGGCCCAGACUCCUACGGGAGGCAGCAGUGGGGAAUUUUGGACAAUGGGGGCAACCCUGAUCCAGCCAUGCCGCGUGAGUGAAGAAGGCCUUCGGGUUGUAAAGCUCUUUCGGCCGGAACGAAAUCGCCCGGGUGAAUAAUCCGGGUGGAUGACGGUACCGGAAGAAGAAGCACCGGCUAACUACGUGCCAGCAGCCGCGGUAAUACGUAGGGUGCGAGCGUUAAUCGGAAUUACUGGGCGUAAAGCGUGCGCAGGCGGCUCUUCAAGUCAGGUGUGAAAGCCCCGGGCUUAACCUGGGAAUUGCGCUUGAAACUGGGGGGCUAGAGUGUGGCAGAGGGAGGUGGAAUUCCUGGUGUAGCGGUGAAAUGCGUAGAUAUCAGGAGGAACACCGAUGGCGAAGGCAGCCUCCUGGGCCAACACUGACGCUCAGGCACGAAAGCGUGGGGAGCAAACAGGAUUAGAUACCCUAGUAGUCC
rnacentral:rRNA from 1 species